rnacentral:rRNA from 1 species
AGAGUUUGAUCAUGGCUCAGAUUGAACGCUAGCGACAAGCUUAACACAUGCAAGUCGAGCGGCAACAUAAAUACUUUUGUAUUUGAUGGCGAGCGGCGUACGGGUGAGUAAUAUCUAAAUAAUCUACCUAAUGAAGGGGGACAACUAUUGGAAACGAUAGCUAAUACCGCGUAAUGUCAAUUUAUAUAAAAAUUGACCAAAGUAGGGGAUUUAAUUUUUAAAAAAUUAAACCUUAUGUCAUUAGAUGAGUUUAGACAAGAUUAGUUAGUAGGUGGGGUAAAGGCUUACCUAGACAAUGAUCUUUAGCUGGUCUGAGAGGAUGGUCAGCCACACUGGAACUGAGACACGGUCCAGACUUCUACGGAAGGCAGCAGUGAGGAAUCUUGCACAAUGGGGGAAACCCUGAUGCAGCUAUGUCGCGUGUGUGAUGAAGGCCUUUUGGUUGUAAAACACUUUCAGCAAGGGAAGAAGUUAAUAUUACUAAUAAUAAUAUUUUAUUGACAUUACCUGCAAAAGAAGUACCGGCUAACUCCGUGCCAGCAGCCGCGGUAAUACGGAGGGUGCAAGCGUUAAUCGGAAUUAUUGGGCGUAAAGAGUGAGCGGGUUGUUUAAUAAGUCAAAUAUAAAAUCUUUAAGCUUAACUUAAAAACUGUAUUUGAAACUAUUAAACUUUUGAGUCUCAUAGAGGGGGGUAGAAUUUCAGGUGUAGCGGUGAAAUGCGUAGAUAUCUGAAGGAAUACCAGAGGCGAAGGCGACCCCCUGGGUGAAGACUGACACUUAUUCACGAAAGCAUGGGUAGCAAACAGGAUUAGAUACCCUGGUAGUCCAUGCCGUAAACUAUGUCGAUUUGAAGAUUGUGUGUUUGUUGUUUCAUGAUUUUCGUAGUUAACACGUUAAAUCGACCGCCUGGGGAUUACGACCGCAAGGUUAAAACUCAAAUGAAUUGACGGGGGCCCGCACAAGCGGUGGAGCAUGUGGUUUAAUUCGAUGCAACGCGAAAAACCUUACCUACUCUUGACAUCCAAAAAAUGGAAUAGAGAUAUUCUAGUGUUUAUGUUUACAUAAAAAUUUUGAGACAGGUGCUGCAUGGCUGUCGUCAGCUCGUGUUGUGAAAUGUUGGGUUAAGUCCCGCAACGAGCGCAACCCUUAUCCUUUGUUACCAUCAAGUAAAGUUGGGGACUCAAAGGAAACUGCUAGUGUUAAACUAGAGGAAGGAGAGGAUGACGUCAAGUCAUCAUGGCCUUUAUGAGUAGGGCUACACACGUGCUACAAUGGUAUAUACAAAGGGCAGCAAAUUUGCGAAAAUAAGCUAAUCCCAUAAAAUAUAUCUUAGUCCGGAUUGAAGUCUGCAACUCGACUUCAUGAAGUAGGAAUCGCUAGUAAUCGUAGAUCAGAACGCUACGGUGAAUACGUUCUCGGGCCUUGUACACACCGCCCGU